AACGAGGCCGACCUGCGGCUGAGUUACCUGCGGAGGGAUCAUUACACAACAAAAUAUGAAGGUCUGGCUUCGCGGCCGGCUGAAGUAUUUUUUUUCACCCAUGUCUUUUGCGCACUUGUUGUUUCCUGGGCGGGUUCGCCCGCCACCAGGACCAAACCAUAAACCUUUUUUUUAUGUAGUUGCAAUCAGCGUCAGUAAAAACAAUGUAAUUAUUACAACUUUCAGCAACGGAUCUCAGAU
rnacentral:misc_RNA from 1 species